CCUCGGCCUCCCAAAGUGCUGGAAUUACAGAUGUGAGCCACAAUGCCCGGCCUUAUUUUCUACAACUUUGGUAACUUUAGCAUAUACCCCAAAUCUGUAAGACAUAAUAUUAUAAUUCAAAUGCAACUCAUGGCUUCUCAUUGUACUCUUUCUCUAGCUUUUGAAUUAUUUAUUCUAAUACCAGUUUUAAUUCUGACACAAAAGCAUGGGAGUUCUAAUCAAAAUCCAACCUUUUAUCAUAAAAACUAUGAAGAAAUUAUGAGUAGAAUUUAAAAAGGAAAAUAGGCCUAUUAAUUAGAUUUGUCUUUGUAGCAUUUAACUCUAUAAUAAAUAAUAUUUUAUGCCUAUGAGUCCCCAACAAAGCCUCCAGCUUCUAUUUAGAUAUAAACUGUAAAAGUCACUACUGGAUCCACAAGCAAGACUAUGGUAAAUAAAUUUCUCCACCUAACCAGCUUCUUUUACAUGAUGUUACAUGUUUCUUUUGUUUUUUCAUUUUGGCAAAUAUUGAUUGUCAUCUUCGUGUUUGUCUAUGUCCUAAGUGCUGGGAUACAGAAUCUGAAAAGAUGGACACAGGACCUGCCUUCAAGUUCACCCCCUUUUUUUUUUUUUUUUGAGAUGCAGUUUUGCUCUUGUCACCCAGGCUGGAGUGUAAUGGUGAGAUCUCUGCUCACUGCAACCUCCACCUCCAGGGUUCAAGUGAUUCUCCUGCCUCAGCCUCCCAAGUAGCUGGGAUUACAGGUCCCAGCCACCACGCCUAGCUAAUUUUUGUAUUUUUAGUAGAGACAGCGUUUCAUCAUGUUGGUCAGGCUGGUCUCGAACUCCUAACCUCAGGUAGUCGACCCACCUCGGCCUCCCACAGUGCUGAGAUUACAGGCAUGAGCCACCACGCC
rnacentral:lncRNA from 1 species